UACGUAGGUGACAAGCGUUGUCCGGAUUUACUGGGCGUAAAGAGCGCGCAGGCGGUCGAUCAAGUCGAGUGUGAAAGCCCCCGGCUCAACUGGGGAGGGUCAUUCGAUACUGAUCGACUCGAAGGCAGGAGAGGGUAGUGGAAUUCCCGGUGUAGUGGUGAAAUGCGUAGAUAUCGGGAGGAACGCCAAUUGCGAAGGCAGCUCGCUGGACGUUACUGACGCUGAGACGCGAAAGCGUGGGAGCAAACAGG
rnacentral:rRNA from 1 species